AUUGAACGCUGGCGGCAUGCUUUACACAUGCAAGUCGAGCGGCAGCGCGGGGGCAACCCUGGCGGCGAGCGGCGAACGGGUGAGUAAUGCAUCGGAACGUGUCCCGUAAUGGGGGAUAAC
rnacentral:rRNA from 1 species